ACACCUGGAUGUGCUCACUCAACCAAGAAUAUAGAGAAAGAGCUUCUGCCCUGAGACUCAGAAAAAUAUUCUCCUGUGCUUUGGUUCAGUAUAGAUUUCUAAACCCUGAUCAUUGCUUAAGAGAUAUUCACUGAGGGUCCUACGUCUCUGCAAUUUGUGUAUGAAUAACAGAAUAAUUUCCCUCUUUUGUUUCGCCUUUCCUGUUCCUGAAUCUAAAUAAAGAUGGCUUUUUAGUAUUAAAAGUGGAAGAAAAUUACAGUUGCUGAGACAAAGGAAAACCCACUCCCUUGGAGGAGCAUGACCUUUUCCUGUAAUUCUUCCCACUGCUGUUGUUGAGCUCCUUGGAUCCUGGCUCCUGGACACCAUCAUCAAGAAGACUUUAUGGAUGGGCUGUCCACCCACUGAGAGAAGAGGAGCAUCAGCUACAGUUUCUCUCUAGAUUGCCUUCUUCAUUUUGAGUAAUGACUGUCAGCAGGGUCAGAUUAAACACAAAACAACUGGACAAUUGCUUGGAGGACUAAACUAUAAGGGCACUAACAUGUCAAUAGUAGGCUAACACAUCCAUGGAAAAUAUAUUUAC
rnacentral:lncRNA from 1 species